UAUACAUGCAAGUCGAGCGAAUGAUGAAGAAGCUUGCUUCUUCUGAUUUAGCGGCGGACGGGUGAGUAACACGUGGGCAACCUACCUAGUAGAUUGGGAUAACUCCGGGAAACCGGGGCUAAUACCGAAUAAUCCAUUUUGUCACAUGGCAAAAUGCUGAAAGGCGGUUUCGGCUGUCACUACUAGAUGGGCCCGCGGUGCAUUAGCUAGUUGGUGGGGUAAUGGCCUACCAAGGCAACGAUGCAUAGCCGACCUGAGAGGGUGAUCGGCCACAUUGGGACUGAGACACGGCCCAAACUCCUACGGGAGGCAGCAGUAGGGAAUCUUCCACAAUGGACGAAAGUCUGAUGGAGCAACGCCGCGUGAGUGAUGAAGGUUUUCGGAUCGUAAAACUCUGUUGUAAGGGAAGAACAAGUACGUUAGUAACUGAACGUACCUUGACGGUACCUUAUUAGAAAGCCACGGCUAACUACGUGCCAGCAGCCGCGGUAAUACGUAGGUGGCAAGCGUUGUCCGGAUUUAUUGGGCGUAAAGCGCGCGCAGGUGGUUUCUUAAGUCUGAUGUGAAAGCCCACGGCUCAACCGUGGAGGGUCAUUGGAAACUGGGAGACUUGAGUGCAGAAGAGGAAAGUGGAAUUCCAAGUGUAGCGGUGAAAUGCGUAGAGAUUUGGAGGAACACCAGUGGCGAAGGCGACUUUCUGGUCUGUAACUGACACUGAGGCGCGAAAGCGUGGGGAGCAAACAGGAUUAGAUACCCUGGUAGUCCACGCCGUAAACGAUGAGUGCUAAGUGUUAGGGGGUUUCCGCCCCUUAGUGCUGCAGCUAACGCAUUAAGCACUCCGCCUGGGGAGUACGGCCGCAAGGUUGAAACUCAAGAAAA
rnacentral:rRNA from 1 species